AGAACGAACGCUGGCGGCAGGCUUAACACAUGCAAGUCGAACGCGUGUAGCAAUACACGAGUGGCGCACGGGUGAGUAACGCGUGGAUAUCUGCCUUUUGGUUCGGAAUAACCCCGGGAAACUGGGGCUAAUACCGGAUGGUUCCUACGGGAUAAAGAUUUAUCGCCAAAAGAUGAGUCCGCGUACGAUUAGCUAGUUGGUGAGGUAAUGGCUCACCAAGGCGACGAUCGUUAGCUGGUCUGAGAGGACGAUCAGCCACACUGGGACUGAGACACGGCCCAGACUCCUACGGGAGGCAGCAGUGGGGAAUAUUGGACAAUGGGGGCAACCCUGAUCCAGCCAUGCCGCGUGAGUGAUGAAGGCCUUCGGGUUGUAAAGCUCGUUUUGGCGGGGACGAUGAUGACGGUACCCGCAGAAUAAGCCCCGGCUAACUUCGCGCCAGCAGCCGC
rnacentral:rRNA from 1 species